UUACGGCCACAUCGCGGUGAAACUGGGGUUCCCGUACGAUCAACGAAGUUAAGCAACGUCGAAACCUGGUUAGUACCUAGAUGGGUGACCUCUCGAGAAUGACACGUGCUG